rnacentral:rRNA from 1 species
GAUGAACGCUAGCGGCAGGCUUAACACAUGCAAGUCGAGGGGUAACAUUGUAGCUUGCUACAGAUGACGACCGGCGCACGGGUGCGUAACGCGUAUAGAACCUACCUUUUACAUAGGGAUAGCCUUUAGAAAUGAAGAUUAAUACCUUAUAGUAUUGAGACUUGGCAUCAAGUUUUAAUUAAAGAUUUAUCGGUAAAAGAUGGCUACGCGUCCUAUUAGUUAGUUGGUAAGGUAACGGCUUACCAAGACAUCGAUAGGUAGGGGUCCUGAGAGGGAGAUCCCCCACACUGGUACUGAGACACGGACCAGACUCCUACGAGAGGCAGCAGUGAGGAAUAUUGGACAAUGGAGGCAACUCUGAUCCAGCCAUGCCGCGUGUAGGAAGAAUGCCCUAUGGGUUGUAAACUACUUUUAUACAGGAAGAAACACUGGUAUGUAUACCAGCUUGACGGUACUGUAAGAAUAAGGACCGGCUAACUCCGUGCCAGCAGCCGCGGUAAUACGGAGGGUCCGAGCGUUAUCCGGAAUCAUUGGGUUUAAAGGGUCCGCAGGCGGUCGAUUAAGUCAGAGGUGAAAUCCCAUAGCUCAACUAUGGAACUGCCUUUGAUACUGGUUGACUUGAGUCAUAUGGAAGUGGAUAGAAUGUGUAG